GUAGAGAUAAACUAAUAAAGUUUUCUGGCUCAUGCCCAGAAUAUAAAGUUUUAAUACUUUUCUCUACG
rnacentral:tRNA from 1 species